AGGUGUCCGCGCCAUCUUGCGAGGACGGUGGGCGGGGUUUGGUAGUUUUUUCGGGCUUUUUGGACGGAAGAGAAGGGCUCUCGUCGCUACUUUUGGCAUGUCUCUGGUUUUUCAAAUGUGGAAGGAUGGCACGCCAUGACAUGAGAGAGAGACCUGCGUUCUUAUCGCCCUGUUCAAAGGCAUGUCCCAGCGUGUUUCCUAGCUUGUACCACCGCCGAUAGGUUAAUAAUAAUGGCCAGUCUUUGCGAGCGAAGAUCCGGGGAAGGUCUUUCCACCUUCCAGCCUGCGCAUUGGAUUUUUUUAGGUAGUCCACCAACAUGAACUCUUCAAAGCUGACAGUGGCAUGAAGACCUAGAAUGAGACUCACCCCAUAUUUCUGGAAAUCCAGGCUCUCCUUUUGUUCCUGUUGGACAAACAACUUCAUCAAUUUUUCUUCAGCUUCCACAGUCAGCACUCCCCUUCCCCCAGCAACUGGCAUCAUUGCCAAGACAAAUCUAGCUGAACUGGAGAGCUGUGAUACUACAGGAAGCGCUUGGCUCCUCUGUGCUAAACAGAUGAAAGGCAUGGAGAAACCAGGCAGGAGGAGUAACUAAAUAUAAGCUCUGCCCUGGCUACUCCCAGGCCCACCAGAGGAGACCCACCAGCCCAUCUGCACAGACCCUGGAGAGCACGGGGGGGGUCAUAUGGGAACCCAAGUCAUAGACCCCUGUAACUACAGCAAAGACACCCAGCACCCUGAGAGAGUGGGAGCAGCUCUGCAGGCUGCCCAGAAGGUUCAUGGGGUGGCUGCUGGGUGACGCACAAGCUGAUGGUGCCAGACAGCAACACCAGGUUCUGGAGCGGAGGGCAGCACCUGUUGCUGAAGAGCUGGUUUGGGAAGAGUUCUCCCCACAGCACCUGGGCCAGGGCUGAACCUAUGAUGGGGCACAACUCUCACCAAAGAACUCCAUCCAAUUCCUAGUGGGGUACUUCCAUUUCUCUAUAAUUGCUCUGUUCUGGCGUGUUGUUGCAGAACAGUACAGGUGGAAGUCUAACAAAGUAGCUCACAUGCUGAAUUCAGCACAGCGUGAUUUACCUUUCAGUCCUGGCAAACCAGGCUCUCCAGCUGCUCCUGCAAAACACAAGAGGAAAAUGCUCAUCACAUAUGAAUUACUGUGGCUUCCAAGGUGGCUGCCCCAGGCCCUCAAUAUGUCCCAAAUGUACAAGAGAGCCUGUCAAGAGGUGCAAAGGUACGGUGCUGAACUGAGUGUCCCAGGUGGUGCUGCCAUGUUCUCUUGAACAACUAUCUCUCGGAUACAGCAGGAAGAUCCAGAUACAGGGAAGAGAGAACUGCCAUGCCACCUCCUGUUUAGAGUCAGGCACGUGUGAGAUUUUGUGCAACAGCUGCUUUUUCAGUGGGUUUGUCCAUCUCCUACUGAAGUUUCAGCUCAAGUCUGUGGUGCUUUUGGCCAAGGUGUUUUCCCUGCUUGUCAGCGCUCAGUUCCUGGGUGCUACCUUGUACUGGGAACUCCUUUCUUUAGAAUAGUUACAUUUCCAACAUUUUGCAGCACACAGGCCCUGCUGAAGAUCCUAAGUACAAGCUGGGUGAUGAAAGCCAGUUUCUCAACAGACAUGUUCCUCUUUUCAGGGCCUCAUCCUAUUACAAAGAAAACCUCACCAUGUGUCAGAUGUUUCUUGGUGUUUUGAUUCUGUCCUUCUAAUCAAGUGGGCAUUGUGCACGGAGUCCAAGCCUGGAGACUGUUGGAAGCACUGAGCAACGUGCCUCUGCUUCAGGCCUCUGAGAUGAAGCUCUGCAGUGAGUUUCAAAGUUCCUCAGAGCUGCAGGAUAUUUGGGCAGGUUUGUUUUGUGGCAGAGGAAGGUCAGGGUAGGAGUGGGGAAUAGGGAGAGGUCUGAUUUUAGGGUGCUGUUAAGGAUCAGUGGGAAGUUUGAGAAGAGUAGUUAUCUUCCUCUGUGCUGCGGUCCCACUCAAGGACACUGUUUCUAAAGCUCACUCCAUGCAAUAGCCAUACCCCAAAAUCAGGCUUUGACUAUGCUACUUCAGGGCUGUUUCCUGGACUAUGGCCAACCCUGCAGUUCAUUUCUGUAGACCCAGUCUCCCAAUACUUGUCCUGAACUUGGGGAGAUUUAUGGAUUAGAACUGAAUAUGUUAUGCAUUACCUUUUGCACCAGGUGGUCCUGCUUUCCCAGGGAAUCCCUGUUUUCCCAUUUCUCCUGUAAAGAAAGACUCAUUUUUUUAUGUGCACGUUGCAAGCUGACCAGAGGGGAGAGGUCACAAAAUCCGGGAUAGCUGGGCCUUUGCUUUCACAGAAGAAAGGGACCUGGGUUUUGUUAAUUACAUUCAGUCUUGCAAUGUAGUUUACUCUUUUUCCUUACUCCUUUUCUUCUGUUGAAGCCUCAUUACACUUACACUGUCAGUUUAAGUCCUAAUCUGCAGAAAAUAAAUGGGUUAUUUUGCUGCAGAGAAACAAAUGAAUUAUGACAUUUCACACCCUAGCAUGUCUUUUAACUUUCAGACUUGUGACAGGACUCAGGGAAGAAAGAGGUGACUCCAUGUGUAUCAGAACAUGUCUAGUUGGGGGUGUUUUCCACUCCUAUUUGAUUCUCCAGUUGCUAACAGCGGCCAGUGCCAAGGCUGCCACUGCUGAAGCCUCAUCUUGCUUCCCUUAACCAAAGCAAAAAAGCUGUCUCGUAUCACAGUUCUCAUCCUUGGCUUUAGGGGUCUCACCUUUUUUUCCUGGGAGACCUGGUUCUCCUUUUGGGCCAGAGACACCUGGGAUACCUGGGCAUCCUUGGAGAAUGGCGAGUCGGUCAGCAUCACCCAGUCCCACUAUUCUCACCUCUGAGGAAAGGAAGAAAGUGUUUGUGGAGAUUAUUAGGGUUCUGAAAUAUUUUGGAGAGGAAAGCAAACCCUCUGAAGUUGAAGAAAAACUUGAUCAAAAGCAAUGAGUGUGGAAAUUUGAAGGUGUUGUGUGAAUUGACAGCUGUUGUAUGAAUGGCAUUGAGGAUCUCACAUUUUAGGGGAGCCAGACUCUGAAUCUGUCCUGCCUCAGGAGAGUUCAGUAGGAGAGGAGGCUGAUAUAUAUGAAAUAUAUAUGACAUUGCAUGACAAAUACACUGCAGCUUAAUAAAACAAAAGCUGAGAGGUACACCAGUGGAGUAUUAACAGUGGAGUAAGUGACACUGAUGGAUCUGUGGGCAGUAAGUGUUCUCUUAAAUUUCCUGAUGGCAGGUCAGUUUGAAAUUGUCCCUAUGGCCUUCAUGAGGAAUACAGACAGAACACUGCACUGUGUAGCAUCCCCAGGCUUCCAGGGUGCCUGGCACCCAGCAGGCAUCCACUAAUCCUCUGUAUUGUUCUGCAUCCUUUGGUAACUGUGCCAAGGUACCACCAACAAAAACCUUAACCAGGAUGGAAAAUCUCAAUGGGAACAGCCUGUUCCUAGAGAUCCCGCUGGUGACUGGGGAAGGAUGUUGCAUUUUUAAUUGGAAUUUGCUUUGUUAAGUGGCUUCUCAGACUUCAGCAUCCCCCUUGCACUCCCACCACUUGCAGCUGAAUUUAAAAAAGCUUAGAAGGAACAAAAUUAUAUGCCCCCCCAGCUCCUGCUCUUAUGGGGAGAGAUGAAACAGGCUGUCUCAGUGGGAUGGCAGUAAGAUUUGUGCUCCACUCACCUGAGCAGGUGUCCUCAGCAUCACAAAUAGUUGCUGUCAGGCUGAGCAGUACCAGGAGAGUUGGGGCUGCCUUUCCCAUGGCCAGCACUGCUCUCUGCUUUCUGCACAGCUUCUCUCAGCCACCUCACAGGCGCUGUGGUCAACACUGACCUAUCCAAGCCUUUUAUAUCUAACAAACAGCCCCAGUGUAAGCUCCGCCUCUGCACUUGGCUGCUGGGGCCUGGCUAGGUCUCAAGCUGUUUCCCAGAUAAGCCAUUUUCCACAAGUCUGAUUGGAAAGUUCUAGCCUGGCUGCCCCAGCUGCCUCACCUCUGUCCUCUGAAAAGUCUGUAUGCCUUUCCCUUCUCAUAUUGUGUUUCUAGAGAAAACGAAAGAGCAAAAAUGUGUUUAGCUAAGUGUAGAUAUCUCCCCUCAUCCUACCUGCUACUCGCCCUUUGUGAAGAGCAGAACUUACUGUGUAGAUGGGGAAAAUGAGGCACUGGGAGUCAAAAGCCCAAGGUCAGCUGAGGCCAGGGGCAGAAAGAAGUACACACGGCCUCACACUGCAGCACUCUGCCUACCCACCGGUGCAGCGCCACUUCCCAACCCUUCAAAGAGAGACUUCUGUUUACACAUGAUCCAUGACUGUCAUGGAGUUCAAACUCUGUGCAUCCAGGCAAGGAUAGGUAGGCAGAGCACAUUUGAUUUUUUCCACCACCUCUCUAUUCCAUUAGCAAGCAGAAUUUCUUGUUUUCUUUCCUGUUACUGUGCUCUACUAAUUUGUGGCAGUGUUACUAGAAGUCCAAUAUGCUGUGUAUGCAGUUCCUGGGAUGAAAUUAGAUCAUCAUCUUUCUUCCUUCAGAAGAAAGCCUUCCAGAAGGAAAGGGAAAAUGGAUUAGCAGGCGCUAGGGAGAGAGAGAUCUGUGCAGAGCAGCUUUAGGGUGACUGGGAAUGUGUACACCUCUCUUCUCAUCUGUACAGCCUGUGUUGCCCAUCUGGGAUGAACUGGAGUCUGCACCAUGGGGCAGGUGGAGGAGAAGCAGAGCCAGCCCCUAGCAUUGACAAGCCUUUUCAUGCCCAGUGCCUCUGCUCUGUGUAUGGAAACAGCUGCAAUACCUUGUUCCAGCUAUCUAGAGGAAAAAGCUGCUGGCUUUAGCUGUUCCCCUUGGUAAAUCAUUCCAAAAAAGCGAAGACCUUGCAGAUUGUUACAGUCUCUCAAGGGCUUGAGGCUAAAUCUGUCCUGAUUAAUAAAUUAAAGAAAAACCCACGUAAAAGCGGGUUUGCCCAGCUUUACCCAGUUGUUCCAUCAGCGGGAUCCAGCUGUGAGUUGGGCUGAGAUGUGUGUUAUGGAGACAGCUGUGAUACAUCUGCUCAGCACUGAUGCAUUCCCUUAAGUGUUACCAGCUGGGUCCAUCCAGCCUGUGGAACACUGUUGUCUACCCACUGUUAUCUCAGAGAGCAGCACUGUCCUUGUCAAUGCAGCUCAUUUUACCUGGAAGCUGAGGGGAAACUGCCAGUGAACAAGCUUAGUCCAAAGUAGGUCAGGCUCCCGAGGGUAGAUUUUGAAAUUGACCCAGUGAUCAAUAUGCCUUAAUUGCUUUUUCUCAUCCCAGCACCCAGUGAAGAUUGCAGAGGGUUGAUCAUUUACACCAUCAGAAAUUCUUUUGUAUAUUUACAAUAUUAUAUUUUCCUUGAGCCCUGGGAAAUGCCCCUUGUGAGUCUUGAAAUUCGAGGGUCACUUGGGGAUGAGAAAAGAAUUCUAAGCACACUGGGUGAAUGGGAAGCACCUCUGAACAUUGUGACCAGUCACUUCACCUCCACAGACAUAAAUGCUGAGUGAAAUUCCCAGAAUUGAACUCAUGUACAAAUCCGUAAGAAAUCAGCUUAGGAAAUCAGAAGGCAUAAAAAUCUUCAAAAAGUUCAUGUUGGGAACAUCAUAACCAUGUUUAACAGGGGAUUUAGCACUGAUUAAUGCAAAAUUGUAGGUGGAAUCCUGGAUUCUAAUGGCAUCCUGUGUCUCCACUGCCGCCAGAUUGCUGGAGUUUUGCAGGGAGGAUAGGUAGACAGCAAAAGCUGUAAGUGCAAAAAACAGCAAGUCAUAAAGCUGCAAGAAGGGCAGAUGAUGGGCACUGGGAGCUGGGAGGUAAACUCUGACAAAGCUCACUUUAAGGAACGUGAAAUAAGAGUUUGCAUGAGAUUUGGCAACAUUAGGGGUCCCACACUUGUUCUGGAUGUCACGAAGUUUCUGUUGUAGCUUGCUGCAUGCGAGUCGAAAGGCUGCUUUUCUUAUAAAACAAGAUGGCUGAGCAAGGUGGGCUUGGUGAGCAGUUCUCUUCUUACUCAAAAAUUCCUGGAUCUCAUGAUUGUUUUCAUCAAACCAGUCCUUGUUUUUCUUGAAGGAGAACCCUAAGGAUUCUUCAGAGGACUGCAGAAUGCUAUUUUUAAUAAGUUGCCAAAGCACUUCAGGAGAGGGAUCUGUGGAAUGAACUUCGAGCCUGGAUUGAAGAUUUGCCUGGAAACUGUCCCUCACUGUAGCUGUUUGAAGACUGUUAACUUGAAGUCUCCUUCUAGGAAUGCCACCCUUUUUAGGCUUGAACUUAAGGUGGAGGUUAAGUUUACAGCGCACAAGGCGAUGAUCCGUUUGACAUUCUGCACUAGGCAUCACGCGGGUGUGACGAACAUCGCGGAUAUCUCUCUGUCGGACCAAGAUGUGCCAGUGCUUGGACCUAGGAUGCAUCCAGGUUGUCUUCAGACUAUCUUUCUUCUGAAAGACAGUGUUGGUGAUGGUAAGCUGCUGCUCAACACAAAACUCUAGCAGAAGGCGACCAUUAUCAUUGCAGUUCCCAACACCAUGCUUGCCUAGUAGUUCUUUCCAGGCUUCAGAGUUCUUUCCUACUCUGGCGUUGAAAUCAUCAAGGAUAAUGAUCUUAUCAUCUGCAGGAACCUUUUGGAUAAGGUGGCACAGGUCGGUGUAGAAUUUAUCUUUUUCAGCAGCGUAAGCUUGGAGGGUUGGGGCAUUUAUACUGAAGAGAACAGCAUGUUGCUUGUUCUGUAGUGGGAGAGAUAGGGAGAUAAUGUAAUCAGAAUGACCAAUCGGCAGAUUUUCAAGUUUAGAGGCAAUAGAGUUUUUGGUCAUGAAGCCAACUCCUGAGAGAUGCCUUUCAGAUUGGGUUUACCUGACCAGUAGAGUGUAUAACCAGCACCAUGUUCUCUAAGACUGCCUUCCUCAUGGAGACCAACUUCACUGAGAGCAGCAAUGUCGAUGUUGAGUCGUGACAGUUCAUGGGCAAUUACAGCGGAGCGACGCUCAGGACAUCCACUAUCUGCAGUAUCAGGCAUGGUUCUGACGUUCCAGCAUGUAAGUGUAGCAGUUAUUAAUAUAAUAAAUAAUAAGUCCCAUAGGGACCAUAGCGACACCAACGUGGUGUGUAACAAGAGUAACGUUUAUUCAAGGAGCCACAGCUUAUAUAGCAGUUUCAAAUGCUGCCACGUCACACAGGUAACUUCCUAAGGCCAACCCCAUGCAAGCAUUCAACAGAGCAUGUGUGACAGAGUACUUAGAACUACAACUCCCAGGAUACUUUGCAGCACCUGGUGUAACCAGACCCCAUAUGCAAGUGUUAAUUUGAGUACACCUUUGAAGGCAGGUGUCUGCCUUUUAAUCUUUAUUUGACUUCAUCAGAAGAUACCCGUUGGCAACAGUUAACCAACCAGGUGAAGGAUGGAGAUGAGCUUUGGUUAGACCACCUUUCCUAGGCACUUCUCCGUGUGGAGCAAGCAGUGCUCUCCUUGAAAAAGGCUACUUGGUUAUUCAGGAUGCUGCCGAAUGAGACUGUCACGUCCAGGGUCAGACUCAGGCGACCAAUGUCCUGAACUGCCUGCAUGCAGGGUUAGGACUGUGGCUUCCACUGCACCUUUAUCACCUGCUGUUUUGUCCCUCACCUGUCGCUACAGGGCUUUGCAAGUGUGGGUGUUAUUGGUAAAAAGACCAAAAUUAUAUUUUGGUAAAAUAUAAAAGAAAUUUAUUGAAGGCAAGUAAGCAAAACAGCGCGCUGGGUGACUGGAGGACACUUUCGUUCCAUCAGCGGUCUGCAACGUGACAGACCAACGGUCCAUCUUUUAUACCCCACCCUUUUUCUCCACCCCUCGAGUCUCUUUCAGUUUCUUCGUUGGAUUUCAUUUAGCGGGCUUCCCCGAUAUUGGUCCUUAUUUCGCGGGCUUUCCCGAUAUUGGUCUUUGUUUUUCGCGGGCUCCAUCUUGUCGCCUGUUUUCAGCCAAUGAUCGGAUUAGACCGUAGUCUUCAGAGGCUGUCUCUUGGAGAUUUCCAGACGGGGGGGUAAGUCCUCUCCCUUUGGUUCUUGCUGCUUUUAUUUUCUUGCCCUGUAGGUAUGCUUAGAGCAACCAUCUGUAUAGUACUAAAACAUACAAAUUCAUAAUAAUCAUGUAGGUAAUCACUUAACUACUACAACAUUGUAGUUUCCUUGUGACUGCCCAGUCCAUAACAAAAACAAAGUUCUUCUUAUUGAACUCAUGGUAAUAGGUGCAAUUAACCUUAAUCGCUUAGCUCAAUUUGAUGAGCAAAUUGUAACUUUUAUCCUGGGUUACCUAUUACAGUUCCCCCUUUCCUAUUUCAUCAUAAAUUUGUUCAUCAAAUUUCAUUAUUAUUUCUUUUGUUGCAUUUAGGUUAGGAGUUUGUCUUUCUUCAGGUACCAUUCUAUUCAUAUCCUCAUAUUGUUGGGACAUAGUCAUCAACUGCACUGUGUUAAUUCAAUUUUUGACAAAAGUCAUGAAUUUGUUUAAAAUACAUGGACCAAAAGUUAGUGUAAUUAUCAACAUUGUUAGAGGACCUAUUAAGGUAGAGACUAAGGUAGUUAACCAAGGAGAUUGAUUAUACCAUGAUUCGAACCAGUUUUGUUGUGAUUCUUUCUUUUUCUUUCUUUGGGCAAUUCCAUCUCAUAAUUUUGUCAUGGACUCUCGGAUAACUCCUGAAUGGUUUGCAUAAAAACAACACUCUUCUCCUAAUGCUACACAUAGUCCCCCUUGUUUUAGAAAUAUCAGAUCCAGUCCCCUUCUGUUUUGUAAUACCACCUCAGAGAGUGAGGUGAGUGAUUGUUCUAGAUAUGUUAUUGAUUUUUCGAUUCGAUCUAAAUCUUCAUCUACUGCUGUCCUUAAGGCUAUUAGUCCUUUUCUGUGUUGAACCAGGGAAGUGAUUCCUGUCGCGGUUCCUGUUGCCCCCAGUCCCAGCAACAUAGCUAUAGUGAGGGUAAUCGGUUCUCGUUUUUGUAUUUUAUGAUGACCCGAUUCCCAUUGUUCAAACAGUGAUUCCUCAGAAUGAUAAAUCAUUCAAGGUAUUAUCACAAUUUGUAUGCAAAAUUCAGUACUUUCAUUAAAUUUUGGUAAAAACACACAGGGUGUUAAGCCCAUUUUUGAACAUAUCCACCAUUCUUCUUUAUUUGGUAUAGCCCAUUGAUAUUUUCUUUUGUUUGGUUUUAAUACUUCAAAACCACACAAUUCAUCUUUGUUUAGGGGAACAUUUCCCAUACAUGUUCUAUAUCCUCUAAUUUGUUGCAUGGUAAGUCCCACUCUUUUCUGGUCCUAUUUGCAUUGUUUAGGAUUAUUUUCUUUAUUUAUGUUAAAAGUAACAUUCAGUCUGAUCCCUUCAUAGAACGGCGGUUCAUCGUCAUAACACAGCCAGUAGGAUUUAGUUAUAUUGGGUGUGGACUGAUUGAGAGCACUAUAGGAUGCCUCUGCUAAUCUUAAAAGCUCUCUUACUCCGGGAGAGAGUCUUAUUUUUUCAUAGGUUUUUGUAGUGGGUAGAAAAGGUUGUGAUGACUUUUCUUCCCCUUUGUUUUUUCCUUUCUCCUUUUCGUUAUUUACUACCUUGUUAGGUCCUAUGGUCUGAGAUGGUGGAGACAUUGGUUGUUUUAUUAUCUUUAUUUCACUUCCUAUAUCUGUCCCAGGUGAAAGAGGCCAUCGGCACAAGUGUGGAGAAGAGCCAGGUGAACACUGGUGAGCAAGAUGAGCGUGGACUCCUUGACAGAAGUAGAUGUUCCUUUUCUGAUGCUGCCCAGGUCGCUUUUGGAAAGAGAGGAGAAUUCCAGCCGCAGCCUCUGGCAUGGGCAGAGGCGGCAGGACUCCGUCCGGAGCCGGUGAGCCGAGGACCUCGGUGCAGCUGGGAGAGUCUGACAAGGAGAAUAAGCCAGCGUCUGCAGGAACCUCUGAGGUAGCCGAGAUGACCUUUCCUGUGUGUUGAAGAAGGAUUCACAACCCCAGCUGUCAUAAAGAUAAGUGGAGGGCUGUGACCCGGAGAAGGGAGGAGAGCAGGGUACCGGGUUGGGAAUUUCUGGGAUCGAUUUAGAAAUUAGCGUAAGGAGAGAGGGAUGUCCAGUAACAGGCCCCUAGUGCACAAAGAGGGAGUGGCUUGCUUUGGAGCACAACACCGGGCCGUGCAGGGCAGAGCAAUUCCGGUCUGCGUCACACAGUUUGUCUAGUCCGUCUUGCGUGUCUUGCGGGUUCCUCGGAUCAGCCGUCUUUGCGUUCUGUCCCAAAGGGGCUUAAGGGAAGCGUGGGGCGUCAUCCCCGGGGUCUCGAAUGUCUCCUCGGCACGGUGCCGAUAUCGUCCGUUCCUCGACUCGCAAUCUUGCAUCGAAAUCGCAUCUUGGAAUUUUACAGUCGGGUGUCUUCUCCGGCCACAUUUCAGGCUGCGUCGUCAGCUGUCCCCCCAGUCUUACAUCCCGAACGUAGCGUUCUCACACAUCCCUCUUUGCGGUUUUGACAGGCCCUUCUUGCCCAAGGUAGUUCUCUUUGAGUCUUUCCAGAGGUUGCCGUAGGGCAUUCUCAGCUCGGAGACGCAGUCGCGUAGGUCAUCUUGCUCAACAGCAUCUCGGUUCUCGGAGUUCUGCUGCUUGCCGAGAACUGUCUCUCAUCAUUCUGCUGCAUGUUUGUAAUGUUACGUGUCAGGUGGGCAUGUGUUUGUCCCGAAGCUGCUCUGCUCUGAUGUUAGAUGAGGGGGCGGGGGGUUGCAGGUACGUGAUAUCAUAAAAGUUGCAGGUAAUCCAACCUGCAGGAGGUUGAGGGUAAGUCAUUUCUUCCCUAAGAGGAAAGGGGUUUUGUUUGCUUGCAGGAGUCCCGUGCUGAAAUUGCCAGUCUGACUGCCAAAACUGAAUACAAACAAAGAUUCCUCUGAGGCAAAGCUUCCAUCACAGAAAGCUCCCGCUGUCCAUGGAGUAUCCAGGAGGGCCUACAACCUUGACUACUGACCCCGUGGGUAAGCACUUUCUUUCCUGAGAGAAUUGGCUGUCGUUCACUUGUAGGAAUCCUGUGCCGAAAUUGCCAGUCUCACCCCCGAAUUGAAUAUGGACGAAGAUUCCUCCAAAACAAGAGGUGCAAGGACAGAAACCUCCUGCUGCCCAUGGAUUGCCCAGGCUGGGCCACCAACUGCACUGGAGACCCCCAAGGUAAACACUUUCUUUCCUGGGACAAAAGGCUAUUGUUCGCUUGCCAGGAUCAUGCGCUGAAAUUCCAAGUAUGACUGCCAAAAUUGAGUUUGGAUGAAGAUUCCUCCAAGACAGAAGGUGACUGGACAGAAAGCUCUUGCUUCCCAUAGAAUGCCAAGGGCAGCCCACAACUAGGACCCUUGACCCUGGGGAUAAGCACUAUCUUUCCUGGGAGAAAAGGCUGUUGUUCGCAUGCAGGAAUCCUGUGCUGAAAUUGCCACUCUGACUGCAAAAUUGAAUACAAACGAAGAUUCAUCCCAGACAGAAGGGGGCAGGACAGAAACCUCAUGCUGCCCGUGGAUUGCCCAGGCUGGCCCACCAACCGCACCUGAGAGCCCGAGGGUAAGCACUUUCUUUCCUGGGAGAAAGGGCCGUUGUUCCCUUGCAGGAAUCCUACACUGAAAGUACCAGUCGGUCUUCAAAAUUGAAUCCAGACAAAGAUUCCUCCAGGAAAGAAGGUGGCUGGACAGAAAUCUCCUGCUGCCAAUGGAGUGUGGAGGCCAGCCUACAACCUGGACUUUGACCCCGAGUGUAAACACUUUCUUUCCCAGGAGAAAGGGCUGUUGUUCGCUCAGAGAUAACCUGUGUUGAAAUUGCCAGUCCGAGUCCAAAAUGGAAUACGAAUGAAGAUUCUUCCCAGAUAAAAGGUGCCAAUCGAGAAAUCUCUUGUUGCCCAUGGAGUGCCCAGGCCGGUCCACCAAAUACUCAUAACAGCCAAAGGCUACAGGCUUUCUUUCCCGGGAGAAAGGGCUGUUGUUCUCCUGCAAGAGUCCAGCGGUGAAACUGCCAGUCUGACUGCCAAAAUUGAAUACAAACAAAGGUUCCUCCCAAACUGAAAGUGGCUGGGCAGAACGCUCCUGUUGUUCAUGGAGGGCCCAGGCUGGCCUACAAACCAGACCCUUGAAAACAACAGUAAGCAUUUUCUUUCCUG